UAACAUGAAUGACUCAGAUUCUGAAGGAAGAAAAAGAAUGACAACUGUUCACCCUAGGUAUAUGCUGAGGAACUGGAUGGCAGAAUCUGCAGUGCAGAAAGCAGAAAGGCAUGAUUUCUCAGAGGUGCCUCUUCUCCAGCAAGUUCUUCAGCAUCCUUUCCAGAAGCAUUUGACAGCCAAG
rnacentral:sRNA from 1 species